GACCUUGUGGUGUGAGGUCAUAGGGAGGAGGGCGUGGCCACAGGAGGAGGGCGUGGCCACAGGGAGGAGGGCGUGGCCACGGGGAGCUCUGGGAGGAGGGCAUGGCUAGCCCUCCGGUGCUGAGCUGAGCUCCCCACUCUGAAAAACAUCUCCUGAAGUCAGGGCUUGACACUAGCUCUCCAGAGAGGCGCAGAAAUGGGAGAUGCUGUUAGAAUCUGUUUUGCACCAGGCCAAAGCUGCCUCCUCCCCCAGACGCACGUCCAUGAGACCAUCUUGUUCGCUCCUGGGUUUCCUCCCCGUCUUGGUGCAUUUCUUUUCAGUUCCUGGUUUACCUUUGAGAAAAGAGCCUGCGCUGGAGAUUUUUAGCCCCUGGAGUAAACCCCGUAGGUAUCUUCGUGUGGACUGCCCCUUUUCUUCUGCUGCCAUCCUUCAUUCCGGUCAAAUUGGCCUUUUCAAGAUCUGUCUGCAACUUUGAGCUAUAGCCCCUUUGGUUUCCCUGACUUGCCUGACUGUCCUCUCCCCAACUUUUAGCCUGAAAAACUGCAUUCUAUUCCAGUUCAUGACUUUUCCCUAAGCACAGCCAUCCAUUCUUUUUUUUUUUUUUUUGGUAUCGGGAACCGAACUCAGGACCUUGUGCUUGCGAGGCAGGCGGUGGCACCACUAAGCUACAUCCCCGGCCACAGCCAUCCUCGAUCCAGCACAUCCUAACCUGGUCCGGAUUUGUGCUCCUUUGAUGUAGGAACAAAGCUGAUGGAGUUUGACAGCCUGCUCCUUUCGGUGGUGUCUGUCCUCAGCACACUCAUCCAGGUGACAGCUUAGCCCUCUGUCUUUCAGUGGGGAGAAUGAUUUUCCUCAAAAUCUGAAUUUGAUAGGUUUCAGACUUGGGGACGCAGGACACAGUGUGUUAGGGUUUGUGUUUAGAUGUCCCCCCAAAGCCUCAUACCGAUGACGUGGGACUUUCUUUUUCAGAGGUAGUCGAAUCUGGAAUGUGUGGUGCUGGGGUUAAGGGUGAGUGAUUACUAAACCACUACAUGUGAGUGACUAGUUUGCACCGUCCUAAUCCUGGUAGUCUGAAUAAGAUAAAAGGGGCAGAAAGAUGCUGGCAACUCCCCUUGUUGCCUUUGCUGCCCUGUGUGGGCCAUGCUGUUUCUGCCCUGCCAUGCCUGUUUGCCAUCCCUGCCUUGGAGCUGGCUCAUUAUGGACUGAAACCUCUACAAACCAUGAGCCAAAUAAAGCCCUUCCCUUCCAACUUUUGCUUGCGGGUAUUUUGUCUCAGCAACAAGAGAAAAAUGACUAAUACACAGUGGAAGGAAAGGAUGAGAUCUGAGUCUAAGAGAAGAGGUAUAAGUGAAUGUCUGAAGAAUCGAUGGUGAGACCCAACCAGCCUGCUCCCUGACCCACUACUUUGAACACCCCAAGUCAGGGAUUGUCCUUCUUGCCCUAGGGGGUGCAAAAUCCAUCCUUGGAGGAACUGUAAGGCCCCAGAGAAGACACUUGCAGAAAAGCCAGCUUCCUGCAUGACCAUUUCCUAAAACUGACCAGUUCUAUACGUUCUACCCCUGCUUCUGGGAUGGCCAGUCAAUCUUAAGACCUUCAUAUUAGUUAGUGAAAUGUGGAUCACUAGCUAAGAGUCACCACACAUCCAAGCACAGGUCUUACCAUGAGACACUGAAACUGUCAUAUUCUCUGUCUCUCCAGAAGAAAAAAGAAAUUGAAUUACAAUAAUAUCCUUGACUAAAAGGAAUGAUCUAAGAAUAAGAAAGAAUGCAUUGAAUUUAAAAAUAUGGAAGUUGAAACAAAAGUUUCAGAAAGACUUGGGAGAUACAGAAAAGUAAAAAGUAGAACAAGAAAACAAAAAAGACGGACAAGUGUGAGAUAAAAUGAACAAAUCAGAGGGCGUGUUUAGGAGGUUUAACAUC
rnacentral:lncRNA from 1 species